GGAAUCGCUAGUAAUCGCGGAUCAGAAUGCCGCGGUGAAUACGUUCCCGGGUCUUGUACACACCGCCCGUCACACCAUGGGAGUCGGUAACGCCCGAAGUCAGUGACCCAACCUUAAGGAGGGAGCUGCCGAAGGCGGGACUGGUAACUGGGGUGAAGUCGUAACAAGGUACC
rnacentral:rRNA from 1 species